GACGAACGCUGGCGGCGUGCUUAACACAUGCAAGUCGAACGGAAAGGCCCUGCUUGCAGGGUACUCGAGUGGCGAACGGGUGAGUAACACGUGGGUGAUCUGCCCUGCACUUCGGGAUAAGCCUGGGAAACUGGGUCUAAUACCGGAUAUGACCUUCCAUGUAGUGUGGGGGGUGGAAAGAUUUAUCGGUGUGGGUUGAGCCCGCGGCCUAUCAGCUUGUUGGUGGGGUAAUGGCCUACGAAGGCGUCGACGGGUAGCCGGCCUGGGAGGGUGGACGGCCACAUGGGGCCUGAGAUACGGCCCAGACUCCUGCGGGAGGCAACGGUGGGGAGUAUUGCACAAUGGGCGGAAGCCUUAUGCAGCGACGCCGCGUGGGGGAUGACGGCCUUCGGGUUGUAAACCUCUUUCGACAGGGACGAAGCUUCGGUGACGGUACCUGUAUAAGAAGCACCGGCGACCUACGU
rnacentral:rRNA from 1 species